AGCGAACGCUGGCGGCAGGCCUAACACAUGCAAGUCGAGCGCCCAGCAAUGGGAGCGGCAGACGGGAGAGUAACACGUGGGAACGUGCCCUUCAGUUCGGAACAACCAAGGGAAACUUUGGCUAAUACCGGAUACGUCCGAAAGGAGAAAGAUUUAUCGCUGAAGGAGCGGCCCGCGUCUGAUUAGCUAGUUGGUGAGGUAAUGGCUCACCAAGGCGACGAUCAGUAGCUGGUCUGAGAGGAUGAUCAACCUCACUGGGACUGAGACACGGCCCAGACUCCUACGGGAGGCAGCAGUGGGGAAUAUUGGACAAUGGGCGCAAGCCUGAUCCAGCCAUGCCGCGUGGAUGAUGAAGGCCCUAGGGUUGUAAAGUCCUUUCGUUGGGGAAGAUAAUGACGGUACCCAAAGAAGAAGCCCCGGCUAACUUCGUGCCAGCAGCCGCGGUAAU
rnacentral:rRNA from 1 species